CAGCUAGUCACGGCCAAGCUCCCAGCCCCACCCUCCCCUCCAUCCCAGAGGGAGCCGGCUGCAAAUUGAAAUCACUGCUCCGGGAAAGAACCAAGGGGAAAAGAGAAGGAAUUAAAAAAACCAGCGUCUUUUUAAUCAACGCUCAGAGCUGCAGCCGCUAAUGAAUUCAAGGAAGCACAUGGGGACGUUGACUCUUCCCUCACAGCAGGGAGAAGAGGAAGCCACUACACCAGAGAUCAAAAUUCUCUCCAGCAACAGGAGCCUGGAAUCAAGGCAGACGCUGGGGGCGCAUUUCCACUCAAUCAUGCCCUUUGUUCUCUAGCAGACCGGGGGAAACCGCGGCAGAAUCAAAGCACAAGGAGAGAAAGUUUCUUUUAAAAUCACUGGGCUUUUUGACACGAUGACAGCCCCUCUGGGAAAGAUGUAGGGAAGAGGAUGCAGGGUGGAGCUCAGGAGGGUGGGAGGGGGGGGUCUCAGAGCAGAGGGGCUGCUACUUGGUACAGGCCAAGAUGAGACCAGUUGAAACCAAGAAGCUGCCCAGAGGGACCUCUCUGGGGACUGGAGGGGGAAAGAACUUGACCAGGCCUUUCAUAAAUCUUUCUUCCCAUCCCUGUUCAUCCCAAUCUUGCAAUUCCAAGAGCUCCCCAGAAAGCCCCUGCUCUGCCCAGCAUUAGCGUUGAGUGCUGUUCAGAGGAGUGAACAUUGUCUCACUGGCUGGAGUUUUAUACACACACACACAUGCACGCACACACACAGAUCCAGGGGAAAAUUGAUUUUCACUUAUUUUCCCCACCAUGCACCCAUGUUCCAGCAACCUUGUGAUUAUAUCAUGCUUCUACCCUUGUUCCUUGUCAGCAUUGAUAUAUUUCCAAUUGAGAAGGAAUGCAGAAAUGUAUAGGCAUGCAUGUGCACCCCUCACCCCCCUACACACGCACACAUGUACACACAUACACACACACACACACACACAUACACAGAAACCCAUCCUGUGGGUCAGUUUGGCUUCCUGGGCAAUCUGAUGUUAUCCAACCACCUGACAAAGCAAAGCAGCCAAGAGGUAAGAGGUGUCUAAGAUUCACUGUCUCCUGAAAAUUCCAGAGCCCCAGCCCCACAUGUUCCUCAUGUCUCUGCAGGAGUCUGAGCGGUGUUCUGGACACUCCAGGGUCUUUCUAAAAGCAUAGAAGCUGGUGCCAUCUAUUGGCUGGGCCCCCAGGAUGGGGCUGAGCCACAGAGCCCUUUUCUAAUUCUCUCUCUAAAAGCUUCUAUCACAGACUGACUGUGCCAGUGUGUGUUUUAUUUAUGACUGUCUAAUCCAGUACUCAUCAUAACGCAGGGUGCACAGCAGGCAGUGGGUGUCAAUAAGUGUUUGUAGAAAUUAAUGUAAUUUGUAAGUAAUGAGAAUGUUCUUAGAGGCAGAAAAAUAAUGCAGUGCUCUCUGCUCUGUACUGAUUUUAAAAAAAAAAAUCUUCCUAUCCCCAAUUCUUCUAGCGCUGGUUCUUUAGGCGUACAGCCUCAACAUAAGUAAACAGCAGAGCGGGACUGGUUUCAGAAUGUGUGUUGCCAUUAUGGGUCACUGCUAUGAAUCAGAUGGACUGCUGGUUAAGAACUAGACCCUGAGGUCAGGCAGACCUUUGCUUGAACCCUAGCCCUCAUGCAUGUAUGGCUUUAGGCAAGUUACCUCGUCCCUCUGAGCCUCCUAUUAUAAUGGUGGUAAUCAUAGGAUCUGCUUUCACAGAGUUACCAUGGGUUUUCAGUGAGAUAAAGCACAGGAAGUGCAGCACAGCCCCAACACAGCCUUAGUGCUCAUUCACAGUGGCUGAUGCCACUGCUGCUGAUGUUGAUAUUCAUGCAGAAUUCAGGCUUGGCUCUGCUGGAAGGAGGUAAAAGAAGCAAGAACUGGGUCCCCUGAGAGCUCACAACUGAGUGGGGAGAAAGAGAGCACUUAUGGAGAAUAUCUUGAAAAGCAGCGCUUGCUAAACUUGGCUCCAAGUUCAGUAGGUGGUCAGAGGAGCAAGAAGGCAGAGUGGGCUGAAGUGGUCAAGGGAGGCUUCCUGGAAGAGGAGAAUCUGGAGACAGGCUCUAAAGGAUGGGUCAGAUGAGAUGAUGGAAAGUAGGAAGGGCAAAAGGCCUGGAGCUGGAAGGAGCAGUGGGCAGUGACCUGCAGAGAGGUUCCAGACAAGAGGAAUGAGGGUGGGUGCACAUCACAAAUUUGGAGACACAAGAUUGAUUUGACUUUUGCCAUAAUGAUGGCAUUGGGGCCAGGUGCAGUGGCUCAUACCUGUAAUCUCAGCAUCUUGAGAGGCCAAGGCAGGAGGACUGCUUGAGCCCAGGGGUUCAUGACUAGCCAGGAAAACAUAAGGAGACCCCAUCUCUACAAAAAAAAAAUUAGCUGGGCAUGAUGGUACAUGCCUGUGCCCCAGCUACACAGGAGGCUGAGGCAGAGGGAUCACAUGAGCCUAGGAAGUUGAGGCUACAGUGAGCGGUGAUCGUGCCACUGCACUCCAGCCUGAGUGAGAGCAAGAGUCUGUCAAAAAAAAAAAAAUAGAAUGAGUUAACAAAUUGUGGUAGUUAUGUAUAGUUCAUGUGAUGGAAUACUACACAGCAAUGAAAAAAGGAUGGCAUUCGGAGCAUGUUGGUGGGAGAGAUGCCGAUGUUUCCCUCAUGAGGGAAUUAGUGUUUGGUGACUGCAAUAAUGUGAAAACAAAAGUGCUUCCUCCAGUCUGGCAGUGAUUGUCUGACGAAUAACCUUUUGUGCAGGCCUCACCUCUCACUCUCUGCCUCCCUUUCCACUGCUUCUUUCCUUUCUGGACUCAGAAUUCCUGAAGGAGUGGGACAGGCUUCCGCUGAGCACAGGCACUGAAAGGACAGCUGCCCUCACCAGUGGUUGUGCUUCAGCACCACGGACAGCUCCCCAGACACUCGCCACACCCUUAGGCUCAAAGUGCCAGUGACUUCCAGGGCCCCAUAAAAGCACCUGCUAACCCACCCCCAGGAGCUGGCUGCUGCUCUCCCACCAUGCCCACUCUCCAACCUCCUAUGACUUUUUUUGUAUCUUUUACUUCUCAAAGCUGAAUUCUGUGUUCUAAGACAUCAGCUGAUACACUUGUCUCAUUCAUUUCAGUUUGUUGAGGAUCCCGUCUGUGCCAGGCACCAUGUUUAUCCACUCAUGGAAGUGGGCUAUAGAGGACCUCUCUGGUUGCCACUAAAAUCCAUUGUGUCCAAGGUCUCCUGGACCCCCUGGGUGCCUUUGCCAGAGAAGUGACUCCGAAGAAGUGAAGGUAGGCACCUGGGGAGCCAGUCAGUGGGCAGCUGCACUAUCCCAGUGCCCCCAACUCACUCGUUAUUGCUAAAAUAGCUGCUGUUGAGGGCACAGGGAUGUUGCAGCAGCCACGGAAGCAGGCUGUGAUGUAAUGAUUGCACUGAAACUACACACCCCCCUGCAAGGCGGUGCUGUGGCUAUCAACACUUGACAAGUCAGCCCAGAGGGAUGAGGCCACAUUCCUCAAGCCACACAGCUGAGAAGACACAGAGCAGGACUGCCUGUGUUUCUGACUCCAGACCCCUCACUCCUUUUUCCCCUCCCUCUCUCUAGGCUCAACCACAGAGGGUCCUAUUAAAUUGAAUUGCCAUUUUCAUGGGUCAGCAAAUGGCUGAAUAUCAGAAGUGUCAUGCGCCUCCACCUAGUAUUUUCUCCACUGAGAGCAUCUCUUCCCUUGCCAGGAAUGUGCUACUUCCCACGGCUUCCAGGCCACUGGGUCUGGGCAGGGGUGACCUUCUCCACCCUGGGCAGGCUGGGAAGAGCUUCUCCUCUAGGGGAACUGCCUGCCCAGAGGUGGCCCCACUGAAGCAGCCCAGACUGUGACCCUUGCAGCAGCUAAUGAACACAGGUCACAAAGAGAAAAGCAGCUUUGUGAAAUAAUCCUUGCUCUGGGAGGCUGCCUGGCGAGAGCUGGCGGCUUCAUCAGAAUGUUUAUGGAGGGGAAUUAAUCAGGAAACUCGGUGGAGUCGCCUGUGGUGGGGAAGACUGAGGAAGGCGGCGGAGCUUGGGAGGGAGGGUGUUCCAUCUGAGUAAUCAAUGCUGGAAAUUAUUCUGUGAAUAUCAAUGGUCUAAACAUGGCGUCAAGGCUGGAGGGCACCAGAAAACAAGAAAGGGCAGACUGAUUGAGUCCUGCAUGGCCCAAUAACUGCCCAGCCUCUGCAGCUGCAAAGAAGGAAGGCUGUUGCCCUUCAUUCACUCACCCACUCAUUGAUUCUUCCUUUCAAUCAGGAGCCAGGCAGGCCCUCCAAUAGGCAGGAACUUUGCUGGUUGCUGGGACCAGUGCAGUAGUCACAAGACAGACAUGACCCUGCCUUCCUGGACUAGAUUGCAAAGACAUUUAGAAUCAAACUCAGGGAUUUUGAGCCUUUUUAUAACUUUCCAAGUUCCUCUACCCUCUCUGACCUCUGUGCAUAAUCAUUAUUGUUUAUUGAGCCUUACUGAGAGCCAGGCAUGGUGCCAUUCUCUCAGUAAAUCCUGACAAUCCAUGUUUGGAGUAGACAUCAUUAUUCUGAAGUUACAAAUGUGGAAUAAGGCUCAGAGAGGUCAAGGAACUUGCCCAAGGUCCCUGAGUUAGCCAGUGGCCAUAUGGAUCUCAAACCCAGGUCAGUCUGAGUGCAGAGCCUACUCUCUUAGCCACUCUGACAUACUGUUUCUCAAACGGAGUGCAACUUGUAUAUGCUUUGACCCGACUCUCCAAUUGCCCUGGCUUCCCCAUCCUCCCCACUUCCAGCUCACAGCCCUAAUGCCUGUUCCUCUUGAUUCUCCUUAAUCCCUCAUGCCUCUUAUUCGCUUUGCGGCUGGAGGAUAAUUAGGCAAAAUGAAACUAUUUAAGGAAAACUGGAGUUCUUUGCAGACACUGAGAGGAAACCUCUGAAGGCUAAGCUUGUGGGAGUGACUCCAGCUGACGGCACCUCGUCCUUGGCAUCUCAGGGCUCCUACCCAUGCCUUCCCUAUACUGUCCUGAGAAUUGGCCCUAAGUUUCAGAUCCAUGCUACGGGCAGGGAACACAGUGCAAGGGGACAGGAAGAGUGCUGAGGAUGUGAUGUGGUCACACCGUGUCCUUCAGAGAGGCCCUUGGUCUCCUCUGAGUCUUUUUCUUUUUUUGAGAGAGAGUCUCACCCUUUCGCCCAGGCUGUAGUACAGUGGUGCGAUCUUGGCUCACUGCAACCUCCACCUCCUGGAUUCAAGCAAUUCUCCUGCCUGAGCCUCCCGAGUAGCUGGGACUACAAAUGCAUGCCACCACGCCUGGUUAAUUUUUGUAUUUUUAGUAGAGGCGGGGUUUCAUCAUGUUGACCAGGCUGAUCUCAAACUCCUGACCUCAGGUAAUCUGCUCAUCUCAGCUUCCCAAAGUGCUGAGAUUACAGGUGUGAACCACCCACCGUGCCUGGCCUCCUCUGAGUCUUGUUCUCCCCAGUUGUUAACACAGGCACUAAGCUGGCUGACCUGUAAGCCCCUUCCAGUUCUGGCUGUCGGUGGGGGGCCUCCUGGCUGCUCUUCACUGUGGGACCAAAAGCUACAGCCUCGGUGGGGUGGCCCUGGGUGUGUCCUUUCCCCCUUGCUCCCACCAGUCUUCCCAAGGGCCCAACAGUCCCAUCAGUCACUCGGCAGUAGUUGCAAGGCACCUGCCCUGGCUGGACAUCAUGGAUGCAGCAGGGCCAUGACCCAAUCCAGUUGGGUCAGGCCUGUUGGAGGUGGGGUCUGGUGGGAGGCGACUGGAUCAUGAGAGCAGUUUCUAAUGGUUUAGCACUAUCCGCUGGGUGCUGUUCUCAUGAUAUGGAGUUCUCAAGACACUGGGGUUUUUUUAUGAAAAAAAAAAAAAAGAUUUAAUUGGCUUACAGUUCUGCGGGCUAUACAGGAAGCAUAGCAGCAUGUGCUUCUAGGGAGGCCUCAGGAAGCUUCCAAUCAUAGAGAGGAAGGUGAAGGGGGAGCAGGCGUCUCACAUGGCAGAGUGGGAGCGAGAGAGAAAGGGAGGGUGCCACGUUUUUAAACAAGAGAUCUGGUUGUUUAAAAGUGUGUUGGGCCAGCCACGGUGGCUCACACCUGUAAUCCCAGCACUUUGGGAAGCUGAGGCAGGCAGAUCACUUGAGGUCAGGAGUUCGAGACCAGCCUGGCCAACAUAGUAAAACAAAAAUUAGCCGGGCAUGGUGGCAUGUGCCUGUAAUCCCAGCUACUGGGGAAGCUGAGGCAGGAAAAUCACUUGAACCCAGGAGGCGGAGGUUGCAGUGAGCCAAGAUCGCACCACUGCACUCCAGCCUGGGCAACAGAGUGAGACUCCAUCUAAAAAAAAAAAAAAAGCGUGUUGCACCUCCCCUUCUCUCUCUUCCUCCUGCUCAGGCCAUCUAAAAUCUGCCUACUUCCCCUUCACCUUCUGCCUUGAUUGUAAGUUUCCUGAGGUCUCCCCAGCCACGCUUCCUGUACAGCCUGUGGAACUGUGAGCCAAUUAAACCUCUUUUCUUUAUAAAUUACAGUCUCAAGUAUUUCUUAAUAGCAGUGCAAGAAUAGCCUAGGACAGUGACUUUAUUUGGAAUAAGGGUCUUUGCAGAUGUCAUUAAGGUAAGGCUCUGAAGAUGAGAUCAUCCUGGAUUGGAGUGGACCCUAAACCCGACGAUAGUGUCCUUUUAAGAGACUAAAAAGAAAACAGAUGCAUGGAGAAAAGAAUUGUGUGAAGACAGGUAGAGAUUGGAGCCAUGCAGCCAAAAGCCAAGCAAGACUAGGGAUUGCCUGAAGCCAGGAGAGGCACGAAAUAGAUUCUCUCUGAGCCUCCAGAGGGACCCAACCCUCCCAACACCUUGAUUUUGAACUCUGGGCCUCCAGAACUGUGAGAGGAUAAAUUUCCAUUGUUUUAAGCAACCGCUUUGUGGUCAUUUGUUACAGCAGCCACGGGAAACUAACACAAUGUCCAAGGCCCUGUCCUGGUCUGAGGCAUCAGGGACAGCACCCUAGAGGAAGCGACAUUUGAUCAGAAGCCUGAAAGCUAAAGGAGGUAUAUGAGUUAGCAGCAGAGAGCAUUCCAGGCUGAGGAAAUAGCAGGUGCAAGGGCCCCAAGGCAGGAAAUAGGUUCUGAAGGAAGGAAAGACCCAGAGGACUGGCACAUUGGGGAGGGAGGAGGUAAUGCCAGAUGCUUCUUGAGAGGUGGGCAGAGGAAGACCCCCUUCCCCAGAGGAGUCUGUACUUUCUGCUGAAAGAAUAGGAUGCUGCUUCCAGCCUGGAAUCAGAGAGGUCAGCCCCGUGGGACCUGAGUCUGGCUGGUCUCUGCCCUUCCCAUGCCUGCGGCUCUGGAUUAAUACUAGCUGAUGGACGGAUGGGCUUCGUUGUGCUGUGUUCGAGGAGUGCAGUUCACCCUGAGUGUAUCUGUGGUGUGCUCACUGCCUCCCAGGACCGUGUGUCACCCCUCCCUGUCUCUGCGUCCAUCCUGAGUCCUUUGUCCCAUGUCAGACAACCCCUUGCAGUGUACCUGUCUCCUCAACCCCCAAUUCCUGUACCCCAAGCUUGUCGUGUUAACAGGAGACUUCCCUUCCCUUUGUCACCCUUCCCUUUGUCAUCCUCAGACUGAAUU
rnacentral:lncRNA from 1 species